GAUGAACGCUGGCGGCGUGCUUAACACAUGCAAGUCGAACGAUGAAGCCCAGCUUGCUGGGUGGAUUAGUGGCGAACGGGUGAGUAACACGUGAGUAACCUGCCCUUAACUCUGGGAUAAGCCUGGGAAACUGGGUCUAAUACCGGAUAGGAGCGCCUACCGCAUGGUGGGUGUUGGAAAGAUUUAUCGGUUUUGGAUGGACUCGCGGCCUAUCAGCUUGUUGGGGAGGGAAUGGCGCACCAAGGCGACGACGGGUAGCCGGCCUGAGAGGGUGACCGGCCACACUGGGACUGAGACACGGCCCAGAAUCCUACGGGAGGCAGCAGUGGGGAAUAUUGCACAAUGGGCGAAAGCCUGAUGCAGCGACGCCGCGUGAGGGAUGACGGCCUUCGGGUUGUAAACCUCUUUCAGUAGGGAAGAAGCGAAAGUGACGGUACCUGCAGAAGAAGCACCGGCUAACUACGUG
rnacentral:rRNA from 1 species